GACGAACGCUGGCGGCGUGCUUAACACAUGCAAGUCGAACGAAGUGGCGAACGGGGGAGAAAUAAGUGAGUAACAUGCCCUCAUUUAUGGGAUAAACCAUGGUAACGGGGACUAAUACCGAAUAAAGGGGGAUUGGCUAGCGGCCUAUCCGCUGGUUGGUGGGGUGAGGGCCUACCAAGGCGGUGACGGGUAGCGGGCCUGCGAGGGGGACCGGCAACAUUAGGACUGUGAUACGGCCCAGACUCCUACGGGUGGCAGCAUUGUGUGAGAUUGCACAAUUGGCGAAUGCCUGCUUCAGCGAUUCCGCGUGGGAGAUGAAGGCUUUCGGGUUGUAAACCUCUUUCGCUAUCGAACGGGUAGGUGGAGAAGAAGCGCCGGCUAACUCCGUGCCAGCAGCCGCGGUAAUUC
rnacentral:rRNA from 1 species